UACGUAGGGUGCAAGCGUUAAUCGGAAUUACUGGGCGUAAAGCGUGCGCAGGCGGCUUUGUAAGUCUGUUGUGAAAUACCCGGGCUCAACCUGGGAAUUGCGAUGGAGACUGCAAGGCUAGAAUCUGGCAGAGGGGGGUAGAAUUCCACGUGUAGCAGUGAAAUGCGUAGAGAUGUGGAGGAACACCGAUGGCGAAGGCAGCCCCCUGGGUCAAGAUUGACGCUCAUGCACGAAAGCGUGGGGAGCAAACAGG
rnacentral:rRNA from 1 species